GCCCCAAUAGCUCAGCGGUAGAGCAGCGCUUUCGUAAAGCGAAGGUCGGGAGUUCGAUUCUCUCUUGGGGCACCA
rnacentral:tRNA from 2 species